rnacentral:tRNA from 1 species
UUCAUGGAUAGCUCAGCUGGUAAGAGCAUGGUGCUGAUAACACCAAGGUUGCAGGUUCGAUCCCCAUAAGGGAAA